CUAGUCGCAGUGUUCGAAGGUUUUGUACCCAAUAGAUGCGUCCCCCUGUUUUGGUUUUAGAUCACAAGUCCAGCAAUUCAGGUAAGUUUUCUUGGACAUAAAUUUCAAUUUCUGUUUUUAUUUGCUUGGAUUUGUGUUGGGUAUUACAUUGGGACAAUGUAAGUUAAGUGUGGGGGAGGAAAUUUUGAGCUAGAAAAAUCAUUAAUAUGAAAUAGGGUUCUAAUUUUGCUGUAAUUUGGGUUCAAUUGCUAAUUUGUUUUGGUUAAAUUUUGCUGGGUAUUGUAAUAAUCAGCAGCGAUUUUGUUGGGUCUUGUUAAAAUUCAGAAGAUGAGGAGCUGCUGGAUUCUUUUUGGAAGAUUUAUUCAAAGGUUUUGAAGAAUAGAGAGGAUCAUGAGAUUUUAUUUUGAUGGAUUUGAUUUGAUUGUAAAUAUAUUUUUUCAGUUUCCUUUGAAACAGUCUUCUCUUCUCUUCUAUAAAAGGGAGAGAUGGGCUAUUAGUUGGGAUAUCAGAGUUUUUAGUUAAUAAUUCUUUUCUUUAGUUUGUAA